rnacentral:rRNA from 1 species
GAUGAACGCUGGCGGCGUGCCUAAUACAUGCAAGUCGAGCGAACAGACGAGGAGCUUGCUCCUCUGACGUAAGCGGCGGACGGGUGAGUAACACGUGGAUAACCUACCUAUAAGACUGGGAUAACUUCGGGAAACCGGAGCUAAUACCGGAUAAUAUAUUGAACCGCAUGGUUCAAUAGUGAAAGACGGUUUUGCUGUCACUUAUAGAUGGAUCCGCGCCGCAUUAGCUAGUUGGUAAGGUAACGGCUUACCAAGGCAACGAUGCGUAGCCGACCUGAGAGGGUGGUCGGCCACACGGGAAGUGAGACAGGGUCCAGACUCCGACGGGAGGCAGCAGUAGGGAAUCUUCCGCAAUGGGCGAAAGCUUGACGGAGCAACGCCGCGUGAGGGAUGAAGGUCUUCGGAUCGUAAAACUCUGUUAUUAGGGAAGAACAAAUGUGUAAGUAACUAUGCACGUCUUGACGGUACCUAAUCAGAAAGCCACGGCUAACUACGUG